UGUCAAAUCAUCAUGCCCCUUAUGUUCUGGGCUACACACGUACUACAAUGGGAAUUACAACGGGAAGCCAAGCAGCGAUGUGGAGCAAAUCCCUAAAAAGUUUCCUCAGUUCGGAUAGAAGUCUGAAACUCGGCUUCUUGAAGCUGGAAUUGCUAGUAAUCGCGAAUCAGCAUGUCGCGGUGAAUACGUUCCCGGGCCUU
rnacentral:rRNA from 1 species